CUAUGCCGGCGACCGGCGGACGGGUGCGUAACGCGUAUGUAACCUACCUUUGACAGGGGGAUAACAUCGAGAAAUUGGUACUAAUACCCCAUAACAUCACCGGAGGCAUCUUCGGUGGUUGAAAACUCAGGUGGUCAGAGAUGGACAUGCGUUGUAUUAGCUAGUUGGUGAGGUAACGGCUCACCAAGGCGACGAUACAUAGGGGGACUGAGAGGUCAACCCCCCACAUUGGUACUGAGACACGGACCAAACUCCUACGGGAGGCAGCAG
rnacentral:rRNA from 1 species